rnacentral:rRNA from 1 species
AACGACGCUGGCGGCAGGCCUCAUACAUGCAAGUCGAGCGAUUAAGACUCCUUCGGGAGUGUAUAAAGCGGCGAACGGGUGAGUAACAGGUGGAUGAUCUACCUUCCGGUGGGGGAUAACGGCUGGAAACGGCCGCUAAUACCGCAUUCGGUUAAUACGCUGUGGCGUAUUAAAGAAAGGCGCCUCAAAGCGCCGCCGGGAGAUGAGUCCGCCCCCCCAUUAGCUAGUUGGUGAGAUAACAGCUCACCAAGGCAACGAUGGGUAGCCGAACUGAGAGGUUGAUCGGCCACACUGGAACUGAGACACGGCCCAGACUCCUACGGGAGGCAGCAGUCGAGAAUAGUCUACAAUGGCCGGAAGGCUGAUAGUGCGACGCCGCGUGAACGAGGGAGCCCUUCGGGGUGUAAAGUUCUUUUCUAUACGAGCAGUGCUAUAUAUAUGGAUAGUAUAUAUAGAGGGAUAGUAGUAUAGGAAUAAGCAACGGCUAACUCCGUG